rnacentral:rRNA from 1 species
UACGAGGGGGCAAGUGUUGUUCGGAAUCACUGGGCGUAAAGGGAGCGUAGGCGGGCUUUUAAGUUAGGUGUUUAAUCCCGGGGCCCAACCCCGGACCGGCACCUAAAACUGGGAGUCUUGAAUAGUGGAGAGGUCAGUGGAAUUGGGGGUGUAGCGGUGGAAUGCGUAGAGAUCGGGAAGAACACCAGUGGCGAAGGCGGCCGGCUGGGGGCGCCCUGACGCUGAGGCGCGAGAGCGUGGGGAGCAAACCGG